UGGGGAAUUUUGGACAAUGGGCGCAAGCCUGAUCCAGCCAUGCCGCGUGCGGGAAGAAGGCCUUCGGGUUGUAAACCGCUUUUGUCAGGGAAGAAAUCUUCUGAGUUAAUACCUCGGGAGGAUGACGGUACCUGAAGAAUAAGCACCGGCUAACUACGUGCCAGCAGCCGCGGUAAUACGUAGGGUGCAAGCGUUAAUCGGAAUUACUGGGCGUAAAGCGUGCGCAGGCGGUUUUGUAAGACAGAGGUGAAAUCCCCGGGCGCAACCUGGGAACUGCCUUUGUGACUGCAAGGCUUGAGUGCGGCAGAGGGGGAUGGAAUUCCGCGUGUAGCAGUGAAAUGCGUAGAUAUGCGGAGGAACACCGAUGGCGAAGGCAAUCCCCUGGGCCUGCACUGACGCUCAUGCACGAAAGCGUGGGGAGCAAACAGGAUUAGAUACCCUGGUAGUCCACGCCCUAAACGAUGUCAACUGGUUGUUGGGAAGGUUCCUUCUCAGUAACGUAGCUAACGCGUGAAGUUGACCGCCUGGGGAGUACGGCCGC
rnacentral:rRNA from 1 species